UCUUCCUCUCCUUAAUUUUAUUUUGUGGUUACAUUGCCUCAACCUGUAGAGCUCUUUGAUGCUUCCUAAACUGGGUAAGCUACACUUGUUUGUUGGAUCGAGGGAUUUCUGAUCCUUGUGCACAACUUCAAGGACUCGCUCAGGUAUUCUUAAUGGUUUUACAUAGCUCUGGACUUCAUCAUAAUUAAUAUUUGCAUCAACGAUGAUACAGUCCUUCAUUUGUCUCAAGCUUCCGUUUAUAGAGUGGAUAUUGGAACGACUCGUUUCCGUUCAAACUCUAAUUUAAAUAUACCUUCCCAGAUGUUCACAUCUUAACAUCCCAGUCAGCAGCUAGUCUGGCUGCAUCAUUAGAUGCUUUGGAUACCGGGAGCAGCUCUCUCCAUCUACUGCUCGUGUGUGUGGUCUGAGCUAAUUAUCUAGCUGCGGGAUUAGCCAUCGAAAGUGCCUUAGAAGAUGGCUGGCACACAUUCCACUCGUUUCCAUUCGAUUUCAUUGAUGGCAUCGCGCGGCGCUCAUCGCUCAGGCUCGUUCAUUCAUGCCGGCUCCGGGCAGGCCUUGGGUGCCGUGCCGCGUCCAUCCUGGCCUCUCCCGGUCGGCCCAGUCUGUGUGCAUUUGGCUACUUCAGUUGCUCGAGCUGCCUCUGUUUGGGCCACACCUUCCUCAACGCCACGCUAAUCACGAGCAGUCGCUGAAGCGCCGCCAGCAACAGCGCAGAAGGAGGAGGAGGUGAAGCAGAAGCAGAAGCAGAAGCAGAAGCUGCCACAGCGCGUGGAUAAAUCAAAAUGCAGUCGCAAGACGUGAGCAGAGCCGCCUUCUUUGCCCAAACUUGCCCAACUCUCCAGCCUGCACCCAUCUUCCACUCUCUUCAGUCGAGUUCGUGGCGCAUCCUCCACCCUUCAGUGCCCCAUCAUCAUCCCAAUCGCCAGCGCUGAACAGCCAUCCACUGCCUGGAGACUGUCUGCAUAAUCCACAGCCCAAAGAAAGUGCCGCUCAUGGGACUUACAAGCUGUUUGGCUCAAUGGAUCGGCUUGGGCUGGCUUACUGGCUGCCUGAUCCGAUCCCCAGCCUCGUGGCCAAGACAAAUGCAGACGUUGGCUCUUUAGUCGUAUCUUUCACUUUGAUUGUGGGUCCGCAAAGCGACGACGCAGGCUCGUGUGUGGAGCCCGUGCUUUAUGGAGGGGAAACCCCUCUCUUGUGUUAUUGCUGGUGUUGUGUGUACAACACUUGGCUACUGUUGGUUUACAUAUGUCCGCAUGAGAGUAAGAGUACGA
rnacentral:lncRNA from 1 species